AGAGGUACUUACCAGUGUGACUGGCCAACUC
rnacentral:piRNA from 1 species